ACGUAAGAUGAAUAAAACGUCCAUAUAAUCCUGAUAAUAAGGUUCGGGAGUUUCUACUAGGGAACCGUUAAUUUCCUUUCUAUGGGUUAAUCUGAAGAAUAU
rnacentral:ncRNA from 2 species